GGAGACUUUCGUCGUCUCGUUAAUUAUAGGUUAUUAAUAUAUUAUUUUUUAACGUAUAUUUUUAUUUUACAUAUCAAUCAAUUUCCCAAAAUGCGAUUUUUACGAAUAUAUGUUUGCAAGUUGUGGCAUUGUCUUUUUUAAAAGAUACACAUGGAAAUAAAAUCAGGAUUUUGGUUUCUCCUAUGGUAGAGAUACGACGUCAUACUUAUUUCACGAAUUUUUCAGCUUUAUUUUCACGAUAUCGAUACUUUUCUCGUACUUUAAUGAUAUUCUAAUUAAUAGUUCUUCGUUAAUUAGCCAUGUUCGAUUAUAUAGAUAUCUUUUUUUACAGACAAAUAUCAUUAAAUCCUACACGCAUAUAUAUUCGCAUACAAUUAAUUUUCUACUCUAAUAAUAUCGAUUUAAUAUUUUUUAGCUUUCCAAGUAGCGUACAAAUUAAGAAAACUACGUACUACGUUAGAAAUAAUAUUUGAAAUGCUAAUGUUCCUGUAUUCGCAUGUAAAUCUGUUUUUAAAUAAAUACAGCGAUGCUUUUAAUAGAGAGAAAGAGAGAGAGAGAGAGAGAGAGAGAGAGAGAGAGAAAGAUAGUAUUAAGAUAUAGAUAAUAGCUUGAAAAUUCUUUCACUAAUGUUUACAAAUUUCCAAUCUCUAGAAAGUAGAAAAACGCAAUGUAUGGUUUUUGUAUACAUAUUAUUAUGAAAAUUUAGAAAGUAAAUAUCUAUAUCGGCAAAAACAAAUGUAAACAAUCAAAGGACGAUUGGGAACUUUCCUGUUCGUUCUUAUUAAUGUGCUACGUAAUUAUCGUUCGCACAAGUAACUCUCCAGAAGUGUUUAGAACUUUUCUCACUUCGUUAAUUCCAGUCCACUUAACUUCUAAUUUAUAUUAUAUUAAAUUCGCAAAUUUAUAUAUUAAUUAUCAUAUGUGUUAAUUAUAUUUAUUAAUAUUUAUGGCUUUUAUCGUGAAACAGAUACAUACCGAUGUCUGUAUUUAGAACGUAUAACUUCAAGAAGGAUAUUACUAUCUAUCACAAAAGGAUUUACAUAUGAGAGAAAGAAAGAAAUGUAUAAAAAUUAUCGAAAGUAUUAAUUUAUAAGUUUAUACGUUUAGAAAGAGUCUCGAUGUGCACUGUGUCGGAGAAAAUUAAUUCGAUACAUUUUUUCGAAGAGUGAACAGAAGUAAGCUUCUCCGUACGAUCAUCAUAAAACGCAUUUCUUUUUGUUUGAAAUGAUUCAUAAAAUCUAUAUAUCAUUUACGUACACAAACAAACGGCUAUUUCAUGAAACAAACAUACCCCAUUGAACGUGAUAUGGAAAUCGAUAGUGUGGAUGCGAGUUUCUCUUUUGCCACUAAUUUCGAUGGGCGUCAUUAUAGAAAACUUUCUCUUCAUAAAAUAUAACAAAAACAACGUUUAUACCAACAGCGAGUCCAAGAGUAAUAAUUCUUAGCCAAUUUUAAUGAACAAGAUCUCAUUUUAAAGAUGAAGGUUUUUUAUGCGAGAAUAUAAUUUUUUCGAAUUUUUGAAAAAGCUUUAUUUUUGUGUGUCAAGCUAUUCUCGAAAAGCCAUCGUAUUUUUUUGGACGCGAUUGUAUUAUCAGAAAACAAAGCUUUUUUAAAAAAUUCGAUAAGGUCAUGUUCUCGCUUAUCUCUCUUAUAACUUCAUCUUUAAAAUGAGACUUCAAUCAUCAAAAUCGUUCAAGAAUUAUAGUUUUAUUUAUUGUCAUUAUAAAUCAAGAUCUAAUGAAAAUAUUUCAUUAAAAUAUUUCAUAAUA